rnacentral:lncRNA from 1 species
CGGGACCGACCUUGUUCGCCGCCGGCGCCUUCUCGCGCGGCGGAAUCAGGCCGCCGCGCUAGGCUUGGCGAGUGUGCGUCGCCCGUCGGCGGCUUCCGCCCGCCCGGACUACCGCAUCCUUCUGCCCUCUCCUGGGACGACGAGUCUCUCUUCCUGUUCCGGUGUCCCGGCGUGUUCCGGGCCUUCGACCCGGUGGGUGGGUCAGCGUGCAGGCCGCGCCUCUCCCCUGGAGCAGCAGAGCUUGACAUGGAUGGGAACAUGACUUCUUGGAAUGGCAAUGACAGAUGGAAUUACUUCUUAAGGGCUUCCAGAAACAAUUCAAUGCUCUGGAGAAUAAAAAGUAUUUUCGUUCUAUGAUCUCUUUGGUUGUGGCUAUUUUUGGAGAAUGAGCUACAGCUGGUGGACUUCUUUCAAAGGUGCCACAUACGAAGAGGAAGUCAGGAAGGAACAAAGUUUACUUCAUGCCCCUUAUUUGGUAAACAGAGCCUCUCAGUUGGUUUCAUCCUACUGCAUACCAGUGCGAGUCUUGUGACUGAACUCAUGACACAGUUGAUUUCUCCCAAUGUGUUCUCAAUUGAUAGCAGAUGGGGGUCAACAAUAUCGAUCAGUCUUGCUGGAUAUGCCAUUUCUGCAUACUUCUGCAAUGUCAAUCCAUCAGUAAACAUGUCAUUUGUAGGCGCCUUCCCUGUAAACAUCUCAAGGAGCACUAUACCAAAGCUAUAUACAUCACCAGAUGGAGAAAUUUGACCACAUUCAGCAUAUUCUGCAGUGCGUAAACGUGAUAAUUACCAUAAGAUUUAUUGGAAAAUAGUAUUGAGUACCU